rnacentral:rRNA from 1 species
CCUACGGGGGGCAGCAGUGGGGAAUAUUGGACAAUGGGCGAAAGCCUGAUCCAGCCAUGCCGCGUGUGUGAAGAAGGCCUUCGGGUUGUAAAGCACUUUCAGUGGGGAAGAAAGCCUUGGGGCUAAUACCCUCGAGGAAGGACAUCACCCACAGAAGAAGCACCGGCUAACUCCGUGCCAGCAGCCGCGGUAAUACGGAGGGUGCGAGCGUUAAUCGGAAUUACUGGGCGUAAAGCGCGCGUAGGCGGUCUGAUAAGCCGGUUGUGAAAGCCCCGGGCUCAACCUGGGAACGGCAUCCGGAACUGUCAGGCUAGAGUGCAGGAGAGGAAGGUAGAAUUCCCGGUGUAGCGGUGAAAUGCGUAGAGAUCGGGAGGAAUACCAGUGGCGAAGGCGGCCUUCUGGACUGACACUGACGCUGAGGUGCGAAAGCGUGGGUAGCAAACAGGAUUAGAUACCCCGUAGUC